rnacentral:ncRNA from 2 species
GUUUCCGAGGAGCGUUGCGACGGACCACUCCGCCAGGCUCGGAAACUUCACUCGGACCCCCGGUGCGGCUUAUGCCCCGGCGGCUCCCCUGAACGGCGCUCACGUCUA